UCAGUUGGCUCAGUGGGUAGAGCAUGAGACUCUUAAUCUCAGGAUCAUGGGUUCGUGCCCCAUGGUGGGGAAAAA